rnacentral:rRNA from 1 species
AUACGGAGGAUGCAAGCGUUAUCCGGAUUUAUUGGGUUUAAAGGGUGCGUAGGCGGUUUGCUAAGCGGGAGGUGAAAUGCCGGCGCUCAACGUCGGAAGUGCCUCCCGAACUGGUGGACUUGAAUGACUCUGCCGUGGGAGGAAUGUGUAGUGUAGCGGUGAAAUGCUUAGAGAUUACACAGAACACCGAUUGCGAAGGCAUCUCACGAAGAGUUGAUUAACGCUGAGGCCCGAAAGCGUGGGGAUCAAACAGGAUUAGAUACCCUGGUAGUCCACGCAGUAAACGAUGAUGGCUAACCGCUGGGCUUAUCAGUUCAGUGGCCAAGCGAAAGCGAUAAGCCAUCCACCUGGGGAGUACGACCGCAAGGUUGCAACUCACAGGAAUUGACGGGG